AGAGUUUGAUCCUGGCUCAGGAUGAACGCUGGCGGGANGCUUACCAUGCAGUCGACGGAAUCUUCGGAUUUAGUGGCGGACGGGUGAGUAACGCGUGAGAAUCUAGCUCUAGGUCGGGGACAACCACUGGAAACGGUGGCUAAUACCGGAUGUGCCGAAAGGUGAAAGAUUAAUUGCCUAGAGAUGAGCUCGCGUCUGAUUAGCUAGUUGGUGUGGUAAGAGCGCACCAAGGCGACGAUCAGUAGCUGGUCUGAGAGGAUGAUCAGCCACACUGGGACUGAGACACGGCCCAGACUCCUACGGGAGGCAGCAGUGGGGAAUUUUCCGCAAUGGGCGAAAGCCUGACGGAGCAAUACCGCGUAGGGAGGAAGGCUCUUGGGUUGUAAACCUCUUUCUCAGGGAAUAGAAAGUGAAGGACCUGAGGAAUAAGAUCGGCUAACUCCGUGCCAGCAGCCGCGGUAAUACGGAGGAUGCAAGCGUUAUCCGGAAUGAUUGGGCGUAAAGCGUCCGCAGGUGGCACUGUAAGUCUGCUGUUAAGAGAAGGCUCAACCUUGUAAAGGCAGUGGAAACUACAGAGCUAGAGUACGUUCGGGGCAGAGGGAAUUCCUGGUGUAGCGGUGAAAUGCGUAGAGAUCAGGAAGAACACCGGUGGCGAAAGCGCUCUGCUAGGCCGUAACUGACACUGAGGACGAAAGCAAGGGGAGCGAAUGGGAUUAGAUACCCCAGUAGUCAAAGCCGUAAACGAUGGAUACUNCUCUUGGCUUGUAUCCACCCUACCCGGGCCCGAACCAACGCGUUAAAUAUCCCGCCUGGAGAGUACUCACGCAA
rnacentral:rRNA from 1 species